AUUCGAUUCUUCAGGAUCUUUCAUGGAAAGUGUCGGUGUUCGUCUGUGUCUCUUUUUAUACAUCGAUUUUGACCCGGAAACUUUUAGCUAAGGUUUUCGGUAGUUCUAGAAACCCUGGGGUUUGAAUUCUAUUUCGUCCAGGCAUCACCCUCUUGCGCGGAGAGAGAAGCGCGGGCGUCGGAUGGCGGCCGUUGAUGUUCACAUUGGCUCCCCAUAGGGAGGAUCCGAUGAGAAACCCCACCACAUUUUCGUCCUAGAUAAAAACCUUUAACAGGGUAUCAGUGCACUUUGGAAGUCCUACGAUAAGCCCGGAACGAUUCCUGGAGGGCGGUUUCCAGGUUUGACUUGAGAACGCCAGCCAAUGUGAGGCACAGUGGAGUUCCUAGAAAGAAAUACUAGUCGAUGGUGAUCUUUGACUGCUUAAGGUAUAUGCUGAACCCAAGCAUCAAACAAAUUUCCUGAUAGAGUUUUGUUCUUGGGCAGUGUUUUAAAGCCAUUUUGUAUCAUGAACAUGAAUGAAACUUUAGUUAGUGGCCCGUGACAUGAAAUAGUUGGGGCAUUAUGUGUAUUAACAGCAUAAUUUUUUAUUAGUGUAUGUGACAUCGCCAUAGUCGGAAAUCACAAGUCAAAUUGUCGGGACAUUGCCAACUCUUAGUCCAUCUACGUAAUGUGUAUAUAUGUACUUUUUCUUCAAACCAUAGUCAGUUACCAAGGAUCUUUUUUUUUUCCUUGAUGAAUUAUGACUGUCUAUGGCAAUGAACUUAAAUUUGGGCUCAAACCAAUAAUUAUCUUUGACAAAAUUAUUCUCUUGUUUAAUUCAACAAUAUAUGAGCUUGACAAAAAGGAAGAGUUUUGAGUUUCCGACAAAAGGCUGUGAAUGGAUUUCGUGAUUUGCAUUUGGAUAAGUUGUUUAGUUGUCUUUAUUUUAAAUUAUAUAAGAAUCUUAAUGUUUUUCGAAACUAGGAUUUUUUUCCAGUUGGAAGUCCUUUUAAUCUUUCUUCCAAUUUAACUAAUUUUGAUAUUCAACACCUUUCUUCCAGUUCCAAUUUCUCUUACAUUAACAAUAACAGGUCAGUGGGGGAAUAUAUUGAAGUGUUUGCAGCAUAUAUUGAAGUGUAUAAUUUGAGCAAUGCAUCAUCAGGUUAUGCACAUUAAAGUGUCUUUAUUGUUAGCAGUUCUGAGUGUACUUGCAAUGAUAGUUUGAGUUGGUUUCUUAUUUGUGCCAUAAUUUCCCAUCUUAUGGGACAAGACGAAGUCGAUUAUCUCUGGAGCAUUAUUGCUUAAAUUUAGAUUUUUCAUCCUUUGGUCUAAAGAUGUAAAACUACAACUUUAUAAUCCUAUUUCUUAACAUGGCUAAUACUAUAUUGUUACAGCUACUCCCCAACUAUUGUUUAUUGCCUCUCAUUCAUCUAUUGUCUUCUGAGUUUCUGUUUGAUUUUCAUCUUAAUUUUGUUUUAACACUUAUGUUGCUUGUAACCUGCAUGGUGGAGCUUCAACUAUAUACCAUCUGAGGAGUCUUUGUUAUGGAUUUCACCACCCUCCAACAUGUACAGAUAGGUAUGCUGGAGAAUCAAGAUCGCCGUACCGGUCCCUAUAAUGGACUCCGUUUCACUUCUCUCUGUCACAGGCAUGAUUACAUAAUGAUUUUAUUUUGUAUUAAAUAUCUUGUGUUGAAAUAUCUAGUUCUGGCGAGCAAACACAAGCACUUGUUUAUCAUGAAGGAUGCAAUGUAGUUCUUAAAAUAAGAAAAAGAAGUGGUAAUGCAGACUCUUAGAAGACUCUUAAAAGCAGUGAUCAUCCUGUCCUCUAGGUCGUCAUAAUUUCAUUUUCUCAAUGAAAGUUUACCGAUAUCAUUGCAGGUUUUGUUUGAGAUAUGCUGAGCUAAUUAAAGUGUAUGCUUGAUGAAUCUUAUUUGCAUCCUAAAAUUGGAUUAGAAAUUGAGUUUAUUGAUUUAGUCCAUUCUCUUGCAUGAGGCCCGAAUAUGACCGGAAGCUUAGUCCAUGAUCAUGAUUUAACUAAUAUUUAUUAUACUUUCAUGCAGGUUUUCUUCUUUGCAUUUUAUUGGCUUUUUAAACUCUAACGUUCCGCUGUGUUUUCUGAAACAUUUGGCAGUCACUCGCACCAUAAACAGCUGAUAUUUGGGGAGCCAAUCGCGCACUCUAGUUACUGUUUCUAUUAGAAUUUGCAUUCAUGGAGAAAUUCUUUUGUUUUCCAUCAAUGAUUAUGUCCUUUUUGCAGUUCUGAUUACCAGAUAUCAUCAAGCCCUGCAACGAGCCUUAUCAUCAAAAUAGUUUCUGAUCGUGGAGUAGGAUCAUCCAUUGCUGGAAUUACUUGGUUCCCAUAAGCACUGAGGACCAUUAUCCAUGACGGUGAAGAUCUUUUGGUAACGUGUCAAUAAAUUAGCUGGAGUUCUUUUUCGCUUUAUGGUAACGCAGUCUUACCUCAAUAAAUAUCGAUGUUACUUUUAUGCUUCAAAAAUAUUUUUCCAGCUUGCAAGUGAGUGAUCGUACUGUUAUAUAAUAGCAUUCGAUGUCAAAAUACUGCUCGUUGUUCGUCUUCUUUCUGUUCAUUGUUGCACAACCACACGGUUUUAAGUGCUUCAAGCACCUUUGUCAUCACCAGUCUAUUUCUCCCGAGACCUACUCUUUAUCUUGUACUAAAAGGAGACCUUGGAAUUGAAGAUGCCCCUUUUGAACAGGUGCUGUGACAGGGCUGGAAGGAAACAAUUGCCCUGCCCACCCAUAUUGACCCCGCAGAACACAUCACAAGCAGUGGGGCAUGGCCUUCUGAAAGGGCAACAUCACAUUGCUUUCAAAUAUCUGUGUCCAGAUCAGCAAGAUGAGAUGACCACUCUUUGCAUCCCGAAAGAGGAGUCAGAAGGACAUGAGAAUGCGCUGAAGUCUUUUGGUGAAAGAGAUGUGAGAGCUUGGAAUCCUAUCCGAAGUUUCAGAGUGGGUGAAAAAGAAAGGAAGGAAUUGGGCAAAGGCAAAAGAGGGGGAGUGUGGGGGAGAUGGAGGAAUCCUCUACCAAAAGCUAAGAAACAAAGCUGGUUGACAAGAGCAAAGGGCAAAAGGGCUUCAUCCCAUUGGAGGUUUGGCAUCAAGUGUUAGGAAUGUAUCACAUCAAUCAGAGUUCUCUCUUAUUCUUAGGUUGAAGGAAUUCCCUGCAAAUGGCCAACUCUUGAACAACCAUCGCAUUCUGAGGACCACCAGGGGGUGGGCAUGAGGAAAUGGAGAAAGUUGCAGGACUCGGUGGAUGACUUGUGUCAUCAGGACUAACAGUGGAUGGGGACAAUAAUUGCCCUCAUGCCUCCCAUUUAAAGCAGAGAUGGUGAGCGGGAAGGAGGAGGUUGGGGGAUAUCUUUCAGGCUGAAGAUGACAAACCGGGCAGGCAUGAUUGUGUGAAAUGGAGACGGCAGCAACUCCAAAUCGAAGGCACUUGAAAGCAACUUGUGUCGAAAGCUUCCCUGAAAGAGACCUGCUGUUCUGGUCAUGUACCCUGGAACAACCUGGCAGCAAAGCCACUCACGAUACAGGGUGCAGCAUCACUUCCCAACAUCUCAAAAUGAUAGCAGUUUGGUGCUGGAUUAACUUGGAGCUCACAUGAUCUAUCUAACACAUCAGGAGACCACUAUCACAAGUAGGGGGGCUUCAUCUUAAAGCAGAAACAGCUGCCAUGUUGGCCCACAUUUUGUUGAUUGAGAUGGAGAGAUUGGAAACAUGGUUUAAUGGUGGACAUGUUUUUCCAUGGGAAACCAACUACAGAUAUGCUUGCAAAGCCAAAGGGGGCAACAAAAUGACUUCCAAUCUCACUGUGCCUGCGUCAUGAAUAAUGGUUUCCGUGGACGGAGGUGAACGGGCGGCUUCUGCGCAAGAGAAGCGAGGGAGAGGAACGUGAUGAUGGCCAUGCUCACGCUGUCGAUUACGACAAAGCGAGACGAAGACAAGCUGCGGAGCAGCAGCGGAAAAGGUUCCCAUCACAUGUGUCUCUUGCUCUGUACAAUACAAACAAAACCCAUCAUUUCUUUUUUCCUUCA